CAAAAUUUCGAUCCAGGAUUUAAAAUGGCGUCGGUUGGAUGAUUUCGGUUAAGGUUGGAACAAGUUGUUUUCUUCUGGACAUGGAAAACUACAUGAAUGAAGGAAAGGAUGCACGUUUGCCAUUCUUAAAAAAGUGGUCCACCUUUGUUCAGACUUCCUGUUCUGCAAGUUCAGUGACUAUAUGCCGCGUUGGGGUGAUACCUUAAAUGAGUCUGCUGUUGAUAUGAACAACAUGGAUCUUUCUGACGAUGGUGAAGUGGAGAUGGUGGCGACAGAAAAUGACACUGCAAGUUAAGCCUAGGAGGAAUCCACACCAGGGAAGCUCUCAAAAGUCUGCUAAGAAGAGGACAUAGCAAGCUGUCCACCAUUAAAGAGAACUUAUAUUCACUGCUGUCUACAGCUAUAGCAUUGAUGAUGGGGUGGCAACACAAUACUGUUCAUCAGGGAAAGCAGAAGCGUAUCACCUUUGUUAGGGCUGUUUUUGACCUAAUUUUAUAGCUGAAAUAGGCUAUAUUCCCAAUAGCAAAAAGUAUACUUUUUUCCCAAAAUUUGCUAAAAAAAUUCUUAAUAGCCUUAUAGGGGAAAAAACGCUAAUGACAUCGGCUGUUUCGCUUUUUAGCAAAGCGUAGUCUGGUCCGGUUUCGUACGGAUUUUAGACUAUACCUUGAUUUGGAUAAAGUCAGCAUAAUUCGUGUACAAGAUAUUCUCAAUUUUGUUCAGGCGCUUAUUAUAUUUGCGAUUAAAUUUAAGCGUUUUGUAAUUUGGCUGCAUGGAAAAAAAUAUGUCGCACAAUUAGAAAUAUAACGUGAAAAAGAUUCCUAAGCAAAACCUUGGCGGCAAAACGAAAACUGUUGAUUUUAUUGAGCAAUCGUCAUUAUAUAAACAAACAACGUCAAGAAGUACAAGUCUUCCCAUUGAAACUCAUUCCAUUGUUAAUGAUAGUGAUUUAAUAACAAGUGACUCUUUUGCAUCAUCAUCUUUGAUUUCCGAAAGCAAAGCGCUGACUGAUAUUCAACAUGUUGAAAGCAGCAGUUCUUCAGAAGAAGAUGAAGCGCCUCCUUAUAAAUGGUGCCUGAUGUGACUGAUGACUUUGUGUGAGCUUAUUAUGUGGAAAACUGUUGAUCAUGGUUGAUCAUGAUGGUGUUUGUGAUUACAUGUAAAGAUGCUGAACUCAUUCAUGUAGUUAUAAAUCCCAACUUAUUUUCCCACUGUCUUGAAAAAUGCCGAUAAAAUUCCCAAUUUCAAAGCCAUGGGCUAUCUUCCCAAAAAAGCUGAACAAAGCACUAUUUGUUGACAAAGUGAGAUUCGACAGGUAAGGCCUGCCAUGCCACUUGCCCCUGCAGACAUGUUAUGAUUCUAACAACAAAGUGCAUUUCAUUUGGUGGAGGUAGAUAUUUUGUGUACUGUGAACUUUUAAUCAUUGUUAGAGAGGCUGUUUUCGGAGAAAACCCGAGGCAUUGUAAUAGCCUGCUCGCCGUCCCCCGCCGUCGUGCUAAAACCUUUACAUUGGCUCUAAAAUCAAAGCGCGUCCACCAACAACUUUGAAACUUCAUAUGUAGAUGCACCUUCAUGAGUUCUACAUGCCCCACCCAUUUUGGGUUACUAGGUCAAAGGUCAAGGUCACUGUGACUUAAAAAAAAUAUUCUGACAAGCUUUCGCAGCCGAGCGUGUCACCUGUUAUGCGGUGCUCUUGUUUUUUUAUAAAUAGUGGUUUGAUAUUUUAUAUAUGUCAUUUUAACUAGCUUGAUCUCUUCUGUCCUAUUGUAUUUAAAGUUUAAGUUUGGACAGUUUUUAUUUGAUUGGUUUUAGUUUUUAUGCCCCCGAAGAAGGGCAUAUAGUGAUUGGACUGUCCGUCUGUCCGUCACACUUUGCGUUUAGUUUUCGAAAAAUGCUCAUAACUUCUAUGUCCCUUGAGAUGCAACCUUCAUAUUUGGUAUAUAUGGACAAGGCCUUUCUUAACGCACACACAUUUUGACCCCUUUGACCUUGAACUUAGGGUCUGCAUUUAGGUUUCCAAAUCUGGUUUAGUUUUCGAAAAAUACUCAUAACUUUUAUGUCGCUUCAGAUGUAACCUUCAUAUUUGCUAUGCAUGUGUAUAUGGACAAGGCCUUUUCAUGUGCACACAAAUUUUGACCCCCUUGACCUUGAACUUAGGCAAUAGGAUCCGCGUUUAGGUUUAAAAAAAUGCUCAUAACUUCUAUCAAAGCGUUUUUCGGGGGCAUAUGUCAUCCUAUGGAGACAGCUUUGUUUAUGUCCUAUAAUAUGUUUGAGUAGUCAGAAGAAACAAUGAAGUUUUGUCCAUACUAUAUAUAUUAAAGUUUUGGCAGAAUUGUUUAUUAAUGCAAUUACAAAUUGCAGCAAAUGCAUCUGUUAAAGAACUUAGGAUGCUUAUAAUUGAUGUAAAGAUUGUUUUAUUUAAAUAUUGCAUUUUUAAAAUGACUUCACAUGUGUAAAAAAAUGUAUUGUAUUUUAUUUUUAUUUUUAGAACUAAUUUAAGUUAGUCAUAAAAAAUGAAUCAUUCACACUAUUUCAUAUAUUUCUAACCUACCGACUGGUGGAUUGAGUACAUAAUAGUUGGAAUUUCACUACUUGAAGGUUUGCACAUCUUUUUUAACUUGACUAUUAUAUAUGAAAUAUAUAUAGUGGAGCUA